rnacentral:rRNA from 1 species
AAACCGUUGAAAGGGAAGCGAAUGGAGUUAGCAAUUCGCCCUGCCAGAUUCAGUUGUUCGCGCUUCGCGACGUGCACGCUCUCGAUCCGCAUGGACGUGACGUGCACGGGUGCGACGUGCGGACGGCGCACUUCUGGCGGGCGAGCGUCAGCGUCGGUCGUCGACGGGCGAUAAGGUCGCGAGGAAGGUAGACGUGCCUUCGGGCGCGUUGUUAAGACUCGCGUUCGCAUAGCUCGACGGCGACCGUGGCUCCUUAACACGGAGGCGACGCGUGCCUGGCUGGCGACCCGUGCGAUCGGUCCGGCAUGUCGACCGUGGCGGACGGCACGCCUGUGCGCUCGAACUGCUGCCGGCCGCUCGCACGGUGCUCGCACACUACGCGUCGAAGACGCUGACGACCAUACGGCUCCAUCCGACCCGUCUUGAAACACGGACCAAGGAGUCUAACAUGUGCGCAAGUCUCCGGGUGAUCGAAACCCGUGGGCGCAAUGAAAGUAAAGGUCGUCCUAGACGACUGAGGUGAGAAGUGCGCUUCGUCUCGACGCGCGCCGCAUCAUUGACCGACCUAUUCUGCUCUCAGAAAGGUUUGAGUAAGAGCGUAUCUGUUGGGACCCGAAA